rnacentral:pre_miRNA from 1 species
CAAAUACUCCCCCGUCCCAAAAUUCUCGUCUUAGAUUUGUUUAGAUAUGAAUGUAUCUAGUCACGUUUUAGUAUUUAGAUACAUUCAUUUUUAGACAAAUCUAAGACAAGAAUUUUAAGACGAAGGGAGUACGAU